rnacentral:lncRNA from 1 species
AUGCCAUCUAUUCCCACCACAGAAUCACCGACUCAGAGCUUACUGCACAAGGAAGAAAGGGUCCAGGGGCCGGGGGUGUUUCACCUGUGCCUGCUGGGCGAGACUGGCCCCAGGCUGCUGGCGUGGACCCGGCCGCUCAGCACCUGGUGGUUCACAUGCUGGGCCCCCAGGUGCCAAGCAUUGCUCAGAGGCACAGGUGUCCUCCUUCCCACUUCUCAAAAGCCGGCUCCCUCCACCUCCCUGUUCCUGUCCCCCUCCUCCUGCAGGGACCUUCUCUGUGAACCUCCUGCCUUGGACGGGGUGACAGUCCUUCUCCAUCUGAACCAAAUGGACAUGGUGGAGAGCAAAGACGUCAAACACGUCGUGCAGAACGAACAAGGGCAACUACCGUGAAGAUAAGGCAUUGGCCACAGCAGUAGGAAGAGGAGCCUCUCCGAGUUGAGCGCCCAGCACAGUGACCUCGCGUAUUCCACAGGAGACUCAGGAAUGCAGCUCUGAUGAAGCAUGGAAGGACUUUUGAGAAUCUGGUAACCUGUAAGCGAGCUAUCUGCACGUGCCUCUGUAUGUUUACUACAGUUCAGGAAGAAAGGUUUCUUCAGGAAAAGCUGCACGGAGUAAUCCUUUCUUGGCAUAAAUGUACCACAUUUAAUUUCCACAGGAAGGAAUACUGUGAUGAUUUACCUGAUUUCCUUCAGGGAAUGAAUGAAUGAAUGAAUGAAUGAAUAGAACAAAUGCGUUACAGAGAGAAAAAUUCUUUACAAAGAGAUGAUUUCUCAAAUGAAAAGUGAUGUGACUCCCUCACUAGUUUUUAAACCUUAUUUUUUUUGAGAUCUUAACAAGUUACCUUAAACGUGCAUAAAUACAUAUAAAAAGAUAAAAAAUUUAAAUACUGGAAAAUUUUAAUCUGGAGAAUAGGCUAAAACAACUAGUUUCAAGUAUCUAUCCAUUUAAUUUAUAUGAAUUUAAAUUUUAAAAAGUAAAAAAAAGUAUUCAUGUCAUCUUUUACAUUUUCUUCUGUUUCAUAUGUUUCAUUUCUCAAAUUGAGCAUAAAUAUCUAAACAGUUGAGAGGUGUUAUAGACAUUUGUCUUGAAGCAGUGCUACAGCCUUUCCCAGUUGCAGAAACUGAACUAAAAUUUACUUAAAAAAUAAAAAUAAAAAGGAAUGUAUUGUCUCAUAUGACAAGUCUUCAGGUAUGGCUGGAUCCAGCAGCUACAGAGAUGUGGUUCUGAACUCUCUCUCCACCCCUGGGCUUUGAGUUCCUCUAUAUUAUUUAUGGUCUCCAAGGGUUCACUUCACAUGGCAAGAAAGGCAGUUCUCACCUUAUGAAGGUCCUGUGAUCUGGAGUGGCUCAGGAAGCCUAACUUCUGGAAUCUUCUGAUUGGCCAAGCAUGGGCAAAUGCUCAUUCUGGAGCAGGGUGAGGACAGGGAAAGGUCAAUCAGGAUUACUGCAGAAUGGUCAAGACAGUGUUUCCAGCACCCACCAGGGAUGCUGGGCAGAUGAACCCAUCGCGAAAUUUCUGCACAAUGGGGUCCCCAUACAUUCACUAGAGGAUGCUGCCCCCUAGGCCCCGUACCAGCUCAGGUGGAUCCCAAAUGUGUGCUAGAAGUCUGAAGAUUAAGAAAACCACAUGUGGAG